AUGUGCGGGAACCUGACUUCAAUUUGGUCAAACUUUUGGUGGGGUGCAGCAAAUGGGGAGAGGAAGGUGCAUUGGCUAGCAUGGGAGAAAAUGUGCAUGGCUAAAAGAGAUGGAGGGUUAGGCUUCAGAGACCCGGUUGCUUUCAACCAAGCUUUACAUGCUAAGCAGGCUUGGAGGGUACUGCAGUGUCCGGACUCCCUAUGCACUAGGGUUUUGAAGGCCCGGUACUUCAAAGAGGGACUAAUGAGCGCAACUUUUCCAUCUAGUGCAUAUUAUACGUUCUGCGGCAUGAUAUACGGGCGCGACUUGCUGAGAGAAGGCACAAUCUGGUGCAUAGGGGACGGGUCCAGAAUAAAUGUUCACCAUGAUAACUAG
rnacentral:rRNA from 1 species